UACGUACCGGACGAACGUUAUUCGGAAUUACUGGGCUUAAAGAGUGCGUAGGCGGCUCUCCAGGUGGGGUGUGAAAUACCACGGCUUAACCGUGGAAUUGCGCUCCAAACCGGAGGGCUUGAGGGAGACAGGGGUGAGCGGAACUGAUGGUGGAGCGGUGAAAUGCGUUGAUAUCAUCAGGAACACCGGUGGCGAAGGCGGCUCACUGGGUCUUCACUGACGCUGAGGCACGAAAGCUAGGGUAGCGAAC
rnacentral:rRNA from 1 species